UACGAAGGGGGCUAGCGUUGUUCGGAAUCACUGGGCGUAAAGCGCACGUAGGCGGAUCUUUAAGUCAGAGGUGAAAUCCCAAGGCUUAACCGAGGAACUGCCUCCUAAACUGCUUGGCUUGAGACCAGGAGAGGUGAGUGGAAUUCCCAGUGUAGCGGUGAAAUGCGUAGAUAUUGGGAGGAACACCAGUGGCGAAGGCGGCUCACUGGACUGGUACUGACGCUGAGGCGCGAAAGCGUGGGGAGCAAACAGG
rnacentral:rRNA from 1 species